GGUGGGGCUCGCGAGGACAGGCAAGGGAUGGCUGCGGGCAGAUUCUAGAACGGUUCCUAAUCCAUGAGGGAAGCUGCAGGAACGUGCAGGUUAAGUGUGUCUCCGGUAUGAAAGACGGAUUCAUGGAAAAGAAAGCAGGGGACCAGAAUAGCUGAAACCUAGCCCAAAGAGACGAGAAACACCUGGCCACAAGACCCAGUGACAGGUUACCACGAAGAGGAUCAAAUUAAGAGACAAGUGAGAGCAUGUGGCUACUCUCUGGCCCCUAGCAGAUGCUCACGGCAUCUCAGCCAAGCCAACAGGUAUGACCUGGAAAGCAUGCGUGGCCUUCCUCAGGG